rnacentral:rRNA from 1 species
AGAGUUUGAUCAUGGCUCAGAUUGAACGCUGGCGGCAGGCCUAACACAUGCAAGUCGAACGGUAACAGGAAGCAGCUUGCUGCUUCGCUGACGAGUGGCGGACGGGUGAGUAAUGUCUGGGAAACUGCCUGAUGGAGGGGGAUAACUACUGGAAACGGUGGCUAAUACCGCAUAACGUCGCAAGACCAAAGAGGGGGACCUUCGGGCCUCUUGCCAUCAGAUGUGCCCAGAUGGGAUUAGCUUGUUGGUGAGGUAACGGCUCACCAAGGCGACGAUCCCUAGCUGGUCUGAGAGGAUGACCAGCCACACUGGAACUGAGACACGGUCCAGACUCCUACGGGAGGCAGCAGUGGGGAAUAUUGCACAAUGGGCGCAAGCCUGAUGCAGCCAUGCCGCGUGUAUGAAGAAGGCCUUCGGGUUGUAAAGUACUUUCAGCGGGGAGGAAGGUGUUGUGGUUAAUAACCGCAGCAAUUGACGUUACCCGCAGAAGAAGCACCGGCUAACUCCGUGCCAGCAGCCGCGGUAAUACGGAGGGUGCAAGCGUUAAUCGGAAUUACUGGGCGUAAAGCGCACGCAGGCGGUCUGUCAAGUCGGAUGUGAAAUCCCCGGGCUCAACCUGGGAACUGCAUUCGAAACUGGCAGGCUUGAGUCUUGUAGAGGGGGGUAGAAUUCCAGGUGUAGCGGUGAAAUGCGUAGAGAUCUGGAGGAAUACCGGUGGCGAAGGCGGCCCCCUGGACAAAGACUGACGCUCAGGUGCGAAAGCGUGGGGAGCAAACAGGAUUAGAUACCCUGGUAGUCCACGCCGUAAACGAUGUCUACUUGGAGGUUGUGCCCUUGAGGCGUGGCUUCCGGAGCUAACGCGUUAAGUAGACCGCCUGGGGAGUACGGCCGCAAGGUUAAAACUCAAAUGAAUUGACGGGGGCCCGCACAAGCGGUGGAGCAUGUGGUUUAAUUCGAUGCAACGCGAAGAACCUUACCUGGUCUUGACAUCCACGGAAGUUUUCAGAGAUGGAAUGGUGCCUUCGGGAACCGUGAGACAGGUGCUGCAUGGCUGUCGUCAGCUCGUGUUGUGAAAUGUUGGGUUAAGUCCCGCAACGAGCGCAACCCUUAUCCUUAGAUCGGAA